CAAAGGAGCAAUCCGCUGAAAGAUGGGCUCGCGUCCGAUUAGGUAGUUGGUGAGGUAACGGCCCACCAAGCCGACGAUCGGUAGCCGGACUGAGAGGUUGGACGGCCACAUUGGGACUGAGACACGGCCCAGACUCCUACGGGAGGCAGCAGUAAGGGAUAUUGGUCAAUGGGGGAAACCCUGAACCAGCAACGCCGCGUGAGGGGAGACGGUUUUCGGAUUGUAAACCUCUGUCCUCUGUGAAGAUGAUGACGGUAGCAGAGGAGGAAGCUCCGGCUAACUACGUGCCAGCAGCCGCGGUAAUACGUAGGGAGCGAGCGUUGUCCGGAUUUACUGGGUGUAAAGGGUGCGUAGGCGGCUGUGCAAGUCAGUAGUGAAAUCCAUGGGCUUAACCCAUGAACUGCUAUUGAAACUGCACAGCUUGAGUGAAGUAGAGGUAGGCGGAAUUCCCGGUGUAGCGGUGAAAUGCGUAGAGAUCGGGAGGAACACCAGUGGCGAAGGCGGCCUACUGGGCUUUAACUGACGCUGAGGCACGAAAGCGUGGGUAGCAAACAGGAUUAGAUACCCUGGUAGUCCACGCUGUAAACGAUGAUUACUAGGUGUGGGGGGACUGAACCCUUCC
rnacentral:rRNA from 1 species